rnacentral:rRNA from 1 species
CAAAUGAAUUGACGGGACCCGCACAAGCGGUGGAUUAUGUUGUUUAAUUCGAAGCAACGCGAAGAACCUUACAGGUCUUGACAUCCCGAUGCUAUUUCUAGAGAUAGAAAGUUACUUCGGUACAUCGGUGACAGGUGGUGCAUGGUUGUCGUCAGCUCGUGUCGUGAGAUGUUGGGUUAAGUCCCGCAACGAGCGCAACCCCUAUUGUUAGUUGCCAUCAUUCAGUUGGGCACUCUAGCGAGACUACCGGUAAUAAACCGGAGGAAGUGGGAUGACGUCAAAUCAUCAUGCCCCUUAUGACCUGGGCUACACACGUGCUACAAUGGUUGGUACAACGAGUUGCGAGUCGGUGACGGCGAGCUAAUCUCUUAAAGCCAAUCUCAGUUCGGAUUGUAGGCUGCAACUCGCCUACAUGAAGUCGGAAUCGCUAGUAAUCGCGGAUCAGCACGCCGCGGUCGAAUACGUUCCGGGCCUU